rnacentral:snoRNA from 2 species
GGCCAUGAUGAGCAUUGCUUACUUCAGGUGACACCUCUUGUAUGAGAAGAAACCUGCUUUGUUGUCCCUUCCACGAGCAGAUUAGCAACCCUCUGAGGGAGCU